AUUUGAUGAUGGGGACAGCACACAGCUUCUUAAAUCACUCCCAAUAUUCAUACACACUCUCUCCAUUACACUGCCGGAUGCCACAAAUUUCUUUUCUUAUGUU